rnacentral:ncRNA from 1 species
AAAAUGGCUGGGAAAGAGAUUAGUAAAAAGGAUGUAUUGAGUACAGAAAGAAGGAGAAAAUGAGAGCCUUUCUUGAGAAACCUUUUGAAUUCACUCUGGAGCUGAGAGAAUGAAAACGGAGUAGUUCCUUCGCAAGAAAAAGCGUUAUAAUAUCAAUGAGUAUGAGUCCUUAUGGAUGUUAGGGUGGUACCGCAGAUGAAAUUUGCCCCUACA